GACGAACGCUGGCGGCGUGCUUAACACAUGCAAGUCGAACGGAAAGGCCCUGCUUUUGUGGGGUGCUCGAGUGGCGAACGGGUGAGUAACACGUGAGUAACCUGCCCUUGACUUUGGGAUAACUUCAGGAAACUGGGGCUAAUACCGGAUAGGAGCUCCUGCUGCAUGGUGGGGGUUGGAAAGUUUCGGCGGUUGGGGAUGGACUCGCGGCUUAUCAGCUUGUUGGUGGGGUAGUGGCUUACCAAGGCUUUGACGGGUAGCCGGCCUGAGAGGGUGACCGGCCACAUUGGGACUGAGAUACGGACCAGACUCCUACGGGAGGCAGCAUCGGGGAAUAUUGCACAAUGGGCGGAAGCCUGAUGCAGCAACGCCGCGUGCGGGAUGACGGCCUUCGGGUUGUAAACCGCUUUCGCCUGUGACGAAGCGUGAGUGACGGUAAUGGGUAAAGAAGCACCGGCUAACUACGUG
rnacentral:rRNA from 1 species